CCCGCCGUCUGUAGCAGGAAAUAAAAGGAAAGUUACACAAGGGUUUGCAAGAGGACACACAGUAAAGAAAAGUAAAGAAAAGUGAUGAAAAAUGGGCAAAACUAAUUGGUUUAUGAGCCCGAAAUUAAAAUGUACUUUAGGACCAAGGAAAAAAAGACAAGUCACAUUAAUAUAGUAAGUAAGAAUUGGCAAAAAAAAAAAAUAUUCAUGCCAAUAUAUUGUAAAAACAGACACCUGUAGGAUGGGCAUUUUCAACAACCGACAUUUUGAAAAGCACAGGUGUUAUUAACGAUGGCUCUGCUUUGAAGUGCACAGGUGUUACUAACGAUACUAACGAUGGCUCUGCUUUGAAGUGCACAGGUGUUACUAACGAUACUAACGAUGGCUGUGUUCAUUACCGACCCUUAUCAUCUACACCUGUGCUUUCCCUACUGUGGAAAUGUCUUCAGUUAAAAGGACUGCUGUGAUAGGAGGACACUAUCUCACCAUGGCGAUGAAGAAGUAGAAGACUUGAAUCCAGCCCAGCUUGCUCUCUAUCAGCGACACCAGCGGCUCCUAUACUUCCUGUCCCGUCCACUAUGCCGGUGACUGUAGCCAAAGCCUUCUGACUCCCCCUCAAAGCGUCCUGCCUCCCCAGGUCAGCAGAGAUGGCCGAACUGAUCAUAUUAGAUGGGCCGCCAAUGAAGAAGCCCGUAGUUGUCAACAGCGCAGCGUUUAUUACCUGGUCAUUAGGGAUGCCAUCGCCAGCGCCAGACUGAGGGCCAAAACCGGGGAUCUCUUGCCCAUCAAGUCAGAAAUGAAACCCUGAAUCGUCCCUCCUGAAACAAAGACAGAAACACAAUGAGAAACUGACAUUCAAACUCUGCGGACAUUUAUGUAUAAACUGAGACAGAGGUAUUAUUUUACUCAAAAUAAUGAUUUGACCUGUACAAUUCUGCUUAAGGUUAGCAAACGGUAAUACUGUAGACUAGUCACUGUUUUCGGCUUCCUUUAUGAAUCUUACUCAUAUUUGAAACCCAAAAACCACUUAAACAUUCAUUUGUAUUAUUGUAAUGCUAAAUCAUUUUGGGUGAUAUUGACUCUGACUUUCCCGCCAUAAAACUUCGAAUGGCACUCCAAUUACUUUGUCAUAAAAAUGUCAUACAUUUUUAAGAAAGGACCCAGUUACAUCAUUUGUUUAAUUUAGUCCAAUUGUGUGCUAUCUACGUGUCAAAUAAUCUAAUGGAGCAUCAUUACAUCCAUAAAUGUAAAGAAUAUUUAUCUCAAAAACUCAAAUUUGUUAUUGAACGAUUAAAUAAACAAUGGGCAGAAAAAUGCAGAUU